rfam:Macaca mulatta chromosome 15, whole genome shotgun sequence.
UGUACUAAGCCGAUUUGGUAUCCACACUAAGUUUGACAUCAGUGUGGUCCAGGUUGCCUAAGGAGGGGUGAACUGGCUCAGACCAGAACCAGAGCAGGUCAAAACUCCUGUGCUGAUGAGUAGUGGGAUUGUGCCUGUGAAUAGGCG